UACGGACGGUGCAAGCGUUGUUCGGAAUUAUUGGGCGUAAAGAGUACGUAGGCGGAUUUGUAUGUCGAUUGUGAAAUCCCAGGGCUUAACCUUGGAAUUGCAGUCGAAACUGCGGAUCUUGAAUACCUGAGAGGGUGGGAGAAUUCCUGGUGGAGAAGUGAAAUUCGUAGAGAUCAGGAGGAAUACCGGAGGCGAAGGCGCCUGCCUGGCAGUGUAUUGACGCUGAGGUACGAAAGCGUGGGGAGCAAACAGG
rnacentral:rRNA from 1 species